rnacentral:rRNA from 1 species
AGCCAUGCCGCGUGCGGGAAGACGGCCCUAUGGGUUGUAAACCGCUUUUGCGAGGGAGCAAUAAGGUUCACGUGUGGGCCGAUGAGAGUACCUCGCGAAUAAGCAUCGGCUAACUCCGUGCCAGCAGCCGCGGUAAUACGGAGGAUGCAAGCGUUAUCCGGAUUUAUUGGGUUUAAAGGGUGCGCAGGCGGCUUGUUAAGCGGGAGGUGAAAUGCCGGCGCUCAACGUCGGAAGUGCCUCCCGAACUGGUGAGCUUGAAUGACUCUGCCGUGGGAGGAAUGUGUAGUGUAGCGGUGAAAUGCUUAGAGAUUACACAGAACACCGAUUGCGAAGGCAUCUCACGAARGGGUUGAUUGACGCUGAGGCACGAAAGCGUGGGGAUCAAACAGGAUUAGAUACCCUGGUAGUCCACGCAGUAAACGAUGAUGGCUAACCGCUGGGUCAUACGAUUCAGUGGCCAAGCGAAAGCGAUAAGCCAUCCACCUGGGGAGUACGACCGCAAGGUUGAAACUCAAAGGAAUUGACGGGGGCCCGCACAAGCGGAGGAACAUGUGGUUUAAUUCGAUGAUACGCGAGGAACCUUACCCGGGCUCGAACGGCAGAGGAACAAUCCAGAGAUGGUGCGGCCCUUCGGGGCUUCUGUCGAGGUGCUGCAUGGUUGUCGUCAGCUCGUGCCGUGAGGUGUCGGCUCAAGUGCCAUAACGAGCGCAACCCUUGCCGUCAGUUACCAUCAAGUAGUGUUGGGGACUCUGGCGGGACUGCCACCGCAAGGUGUGAGGAAGGGGGGGAUGACGUCAAAUCAGCACGGCCCUUACGUCCGGGGCGACACACGUGUUACAAUGGCGGCCACAGAGGGGCACUACCUGGCGACAGGAUGGGAAUCUCGAAAAGCCGUCUCAGUCCGGAUCGGAGUCUGCAACCCGACUCCGUGAAGCUGGAUUCGCUAGUAAUCGCGCAUCAGCCAUGGCGCGGUGAAUACGUUCCCGGGCCUUGU